AUAUUUUUAUUUUUUUAGUGCAGAUUAAUGUCUUUAUAUCUUUUUGAUUAUAAUAACUAUUCUGUUUCAGAUCAAGAAACAAGAAAGUAAAGAGGGCUCUCCAGAACUGUACAUGUCAUUGUGACAUUACCAUUAAGGUGAAGUUAUUCAAACAUUAUUCUUUUUUCGUAUAAUGUUUUGUUUUGUUUGUGAAUUGUUUUGUCAUGACGGCCGCCAACAAAUGUUUUCGUUUUGUCUUGUACCAUCUAUUUAGUGCAUGCUUUUUAUAUUUUUUGAAGUUGUUUUCUUAUAGUUUUUUUAAGUUUACUUUUAUUCUUUUAGUAUAUAGUUUUUAUUUUAAUCUUUUGUAGAAAAAGUUUAAUUCUUUUAGUUUGAAAGUAUUUUUUUCAGAGGUUUCCAGUCCAAGAAAGUCUUAUUUGGAAGUUAAAAAGAUCAAGAAACAAGAAAGUAAAGAGGGCUCUCCAGAACUGUACAUGUAAUUGUGGCAUUAGCAUUAAGAGGUUUCCAGUCCAAGAAAGUCUUAUUUGGAAGUGAAAAAG
rnacentral:sRNA from 1 species